rnacentral:rRNA from 1 species
UACGUAGGGUGCAAGCGUUGUCCGGAAUUAUUGGGCGUAAAGAGCUCGUAGGCGGUCUGUCGCGUCUGCUGUGAAAACUCGGGGCUUAACCCCGGGCCUGCAGUGGGUACGGGCAGGCUAGAGUUCGGUAGGGGAGACUGGAAUUCCUGGUGUAGCGGUGAAAUGCGCAGAUAUCAGGAGGAACACCGGUGGCGAAGGCGGUUCUCUGGGAAUGUCCUGACGCUGAGGAGCGAAAGUGUGGGGAGCGAACAGG